AUCAACUUUCGAUGGUAGGAUAGAGGCCUACCAUGGUGGUAACGGGUAACGGGGUGUUAGGGCACGACACCGGAGAGGGAGCCUGAGAAACGGCUACCACAUCCAAGGAUGGCAGCAGGCGCGCAAAUUACCCAAUCCCGACACGGGGAGGUAGUGACAAUAAAUAACAAUACGGGGUUCUUUCGGAUUUCGUAAUUGGAAUGAGUACAAUUUAAAUCUCUUAACGAGGAACAAUUGGAGGGCAAGUCUGGUGCCAGCAGCCGCGGUAAUUCCAGCUCCGAUAGCGUAUAUUAAAGUUGCUGCAGUUAAAAAGCUCGUAGUUGAAUUUCGGGACCAAUAUGUCGGUCGUGCCUCGGUACGUACUGGCAUCGUUGGUUUCUCCCUUCUGACGAACCAUGAUGUCAUUUAUUUGGUGUCGUGGGGAAUCAGGACUGUUACUUUGAAAAAAUUAGAGUGUUUAAAGCAGGCUCACGCUUGAAUACAUUAGCAUGGAAUAAUGAAAUAGGACGUUUGAUUCUAUUUUGUUGGUUUCUAGGAUCGACGUAAUGAUUAAUAAGGAUAGUUGGGGGCAUUAGUAUUCAAUUGUCAGAGGUGAAAUUCUUGGAUUUAUUGAAGACUAACUACUGCGAAAGCAUUUGCCAAGGAUGUUUUCAUUAAUCAAGAACGAAAGUUAGGGGAUCGAAGACGAUCAGAUACCGUCGUAGUCUUAACCAUAAACUAUGCCGACUAGGGAUCGGAUGAUGUUAAUUUUUUAAUGACUCAUUCGGCGCCUUACGGGAAACCAAAGUGUUUGGGUUC
rnacentral:rRNA from 1 species